rnacentral:rRNA from 1 species
GUUGAACGCUGACAGCAUGCUUAACACAUGCAAGUCAAGUGUGGCGUACGGUUGAGUAACGCGUAAAGAACUUGCCUUACAGAUUGGGACAUUACCCGGAAACGAAUGCUAAUACCUGAUACUGUGAGAGAGCUUUGCGUCCCAUUAGUUAGUUGGAGAGGUAACGGCUCACGAAGGCGAGGAUGAGUAGCCGGCCUGAGAGGGUGAUCGGCCACAAGGGGACUGGGGCGCGGCCCUUGCUGCUGAGGGAGGCAGCAGUGAGGAAUAUAGGACGAUGGACCAAAGUGUGAUCAAGGAAUUCGGUGUGCACGAUAAAGUUUUCGGAAUGUAAAGUGCUUUCAGUAGAGGAACGGUACCAGCAGAAGAAGUGACGGCUAAAUACGUGCCAGCAGCCGCGGUAAUUC